CUCAUCUGUUUACCAGAUAAUCGGUUGGAUGAACUCCCCUUACUCACCCCUGCAAGGAGCUCACUUUCCUCUCGGGCGGCCCAGCAGAGUCCCCCCACAAAGCAUCUCUGAUGUGGAAGAAACCAACUUACAGCAUCAGGAGCUGUACUUGGAGGAAAAUUACCAAAAGACACAUGCAGUUCUCCACCUCAAGUCAAUGGGCCAGGCAUAUACUCCAGCUGAAUUCAGAGACUAGAGCUACAGAGAGUGGAAAUACAAAUGCCCUCCGUGGA